rnacentral:lncRNA from 1 species
GACUUCAUCAAGUCUAUUAGUGAAAUGGGGAAUGAUGGGCAGGCAAUAAACAAUGUCAGAUAGUGAAAAGUGCUAUGUCAAAAAAUAAAAAUAAAGACAAGAUAUGAGGUUAAGAGGGUGAUAAUGGAAUAAGUUUAGGGUUACAGCAGUGGUUCUCAACCAGAGCAAUUUUGCCCUCCAGGUGACAUUUGACAAUGUCUGCAGACAUUUUUGGUUGUCACAACUGGACAGAUACUACUGAUAUCUACUGGGUAGAGACCAGCACUGCUGCCAAAGAUUCUGCAAUGCACAGAUAGCCCUGUCCCCCACAACAAAGAAUUAUUUGGGCCAAAAUGUACAAAAACUGAGAAACAUUGACUUAGCAGUAGAGAGAGGGUACAAUAGACAGAAUCUCCAAAGACCUGAGGGAGUGGGACAUUCACAUUACUUGGAGAACAGAGAGGGCAGCAAGAAUGAAAGCUCCAAGCCAGGAAGUGACAGCUCUACAUCUGGUAGCAGGCUUAAAAAGUCAUCCACAAUCCGAGUUUAUAUGUAUGCGCAAUUGUUCUUUUAGGACUCAGUUCAGCCCACAGAUGUCUCCACAGCUGCUCCCUAUUCCAAAGGGGAAUUUUUUUCCUUGGAAGCAGUCAUGUAAGGUUUUUGUUGUUUUGUUUUGUUUUUGUUUUAUUUUUAUUUAAAGUGUGGUAAAGACUUUUUCCUUUCCUCGACUUGGUGGCGGGGGCUGGGGGAGGGAGUGGGGGUGUGGGGAUCUUACUUAAAAGAUGGCCUUGAGAUUUGCAUCAAGAAAAUAUGGC